GACGAACGCUGGCGGCGUGCUUAACACAUGCAAGUCGAACGAUGAAGAAAUGAAUCGAAGCUUCGGCAGAAAUUCAUUUCGGAUUAGUGGCAGACGGGUGAGUAACGCGUGAGCAACCUACCUCUUACAAAGGGAUAGCCUCGGGAAACCGGGAUUAAUACCAUAUAACAUUGUGACGAAGCAUUUCGAUGCAAUCAAAGCUACGGCGGUAAGAGAUGGGCUCGCGUCCCAUUAACCGGAUGGUGAGGUAACGGCUCACCAUAGUGACGAUGGGUAACCGGCCUGAGAGGGUGAACGGUCACACUGGAACUGAGACACGGUCCAGACUCCUACGGGAGGCAGCAGUGGGGAAUAUUGCACAAUGGAGGGAACUCUGAUGCAGCGACGCCGCGUGAGUGAUGAAGGAAUUCGUUUCGUAAAACUCUGUUCUAUGGGAAGAAAAGGACUGUACCAUAGGAGAAAGCUCCGGCUAAAUACGUG
rnacentral:rRNA from 1 species